rnacentral:rRNA from 1 species
AUUGAACGCUGGCGGCAGGCCUAACACAUGCAAGUCGAGCGAGCGGCGGACGGGUGAGUAAUGUCUGGGAAACUGCCCGAUGGAGGGGGAUAACUACUGGAAACGGUAGCUAAUACCCCAUACCAUCAGAUGUGCCCAGAUGGGAUUAGCUAGUAGGUGGGGUAACGGCUCACCUGGGCGACGAUCCCUAGCUGGUCUGAGAGGAUGACCAGCCACACUGGAACUGAGACACGGUCCAGGCUCCUACGGGAGGCAGCAGUGGGGAAUAUUGGACAAGGGGCGCAAGCCUGAUGCAGCCAUGCGGCGUGUGUGAAGAAGGCCUUCGGGUUGUGAAGCACUUUCAGCGGGGGGGCGUUACCCGCAUAAGAAGCACCGGCUAACUCCGUGCCAGCAGCCGCGGUAAUUC